rnacentral:rRNA from 1 species
ACUACGGAAGGGCUGUAUUUAUUGGAUACCAAAACCAUCCUUCCCUCGGGAAGUUUUGUUUGAUGAUUCACAAUAACUGAUCGGAUCGCCACUGUGGUGGCGACAGGUCAUUCAACAUUCUGCCCUAUCAGCUUUCGAUGGUUGUGUAGUGGACAACCAUGGCCAUAACGGGUAACGGAGAAUCAGGGUUCGAUUCCGGAGAAGGAGCUUGAGAAUUGGCUACUACAUCUAAGGAAGGCAGCAGGCGCGCAAAUUACCCAAUCCCGAUUCGGGGAGGUAGUGACAAAAAAUAACAAUACCGGGCCUUUUUGGGCUUGGUAAUUGGAAUGAGGGAGAGUUAAACGGACCAUCGAGUAUCCAUUGGAGGGCAAGUCUGGUGCCAGCAGCUGCGGUAAUACCAGCUCCAAUAGCGUAUAUUAAAGUUGUUGCAGUUAAAAAGCUCGUAGUUGGACUUGUGUGCGCUGUCCGCGGGUGGCCUGCGCCCAAGAGGGCGUUUCGGUUCGGCCCCGGUGGCGCCUUGAAAUCUGCAGCUGGGGGGACGUUGGCCUUAACUGGUCGGCGACCGCACGCCGGCUGCUCGGUUACUGUGAGAAAAUUAGAGUGUUCAAGGCAGGCAUUGGGUGCAAUUGAAUACAUUAGCAUGGAAUAAUAAAAUAUGGCUCCUGCCGUAUUUUGUUGGUUUUGACUGGUGGGAGUAAUGAUUGAUAGGGACGGUUGGGGGUGCUAGUAUUGAGCGGCCAGAGGUGAAAUUCAUGGAUUCGCUCAAGACUAACUUAUGCGAAAGCAUUCACCAAGGACGUCCUCUUUAAUCAAGAACGAAAGUUGGGGGAUCGAAGACGAUCAGAUACCGUCGUAGUCUCAACCAUAAACUAUGUCGACUUGGGAUCGGCGGUAGUUUUUUCAUUAAGACACUGUCGGGACCACGGGAGAAAUCAAAGUGUCUGGACUCUGGGGGAAGUAUGGUCGCAAGGCUGAAACUUGAAGGAAUUGACGGAAGGGCACCACCAGGAGUGGAGCCUGCGGCUUAAUUUGACCCAACACGGGGAAACUUACCAGGUCCAGAGAUGUAGAGGAUUGACAGAUUGAAGCUCUUUCUUGAUCACUUCGGUGGUGGUGCAUGGCCGUUCUUAGUUGGUGGAGUGAUUUGUCUGGUUAAUUCCGUUAACGAACGAGACCUCAGCCUGCUAGUGUAGUCGGCUGGAU